rnacentral:rRNA from 1 species
CCUACGGGAGGCUGCAGUGAGGAAUAUUGGUCAAUGGCCGGAAGGCUGAACCAGCCAAGCCGCGUGAAUGACGAAGGUGCCAAGCAUUGUAAACUUCUUUUGUCAAGGGACAAAAUCAGGCUCGAGAGCCUGACCGAGGGUACUUGAAGAAAAAGCAUCGGCUAACUCCGUGCCAGCAGCCGCGGUAAUACGGAGGAUGCGAGCGUUAUCCGGAUUUAGUGGGUUUAAGGGGUGCGUAGGCGGACCGUUAAGUUAGCGGUAAAAGCCCGGGGCUCAACCCCGGCGAGCCGUUGAAACUGGUUGUCUUGAGAUGUCGAGAGGUAUGCGGAAUGCGCAGUGUAGCGGUGAAAUGCGUAGAUAUUGGGCGGAACACCGGUGGCGAAGGCAGCAUACCGGCGGCGAUCUGACGCUGAGGCACGAAAGCGUGGGUAUCGAACAGGAUUAGAUACCCCUGUAGUC